UUACUACGACCUCCGUCCAACAAAAGAUAUUUCAACUUUGACUAAAUUUGAAUGCAUCUAGAUACAUUCAAAUUUUGACAAACUUGAGACAUCUUUUGUUGGACAGAGGAAGUAUAUA
rfam:Brachypodium distachyon strain Bd21 chromosome 1, whole genome shotgun sequence.